UAAUCCCCUAAAACAGAAAUGCAACAAGUUUAUUUUAAUUAGGCAAUGGUGAAAUGACAGCCCAGAUAGACUGGGUAAAAUAAGUAUUGAACAUGUCACCAAUUUUCUAAGUAAAUAUAUUUGUAAAGCUGCUAUUGGCAAUAAAUUCUCAAUAGAUGUCAGCAACAACCUAUCCAAUCAAGACACGCAAAGAAAUCAAACCAUAGAUGUCCAUGCGUUCGGUUUUGUGUAACAAUGAAAAAUGACACAGGGAAACACUACUGAACACAUGAAGAAAGGGAGGUUUAAAAAGGCAUGGGCAGUCAUGACACCAGCUGAAAUCAACCCUGUCCCUUCUGGUUCAGUCCCAACUGAUGGCUUAUAAGUAGUAUCUCAUUUCCAAGGUGUCACACAAGAAUCAUCUCAUGAUGGGUAAAGCUAAUGAACUCUCUCGAGCCCCUCCCAACCUUACUGUUGCAAAUCAUACUGAUUGCACUGGUUACAGCAGAAUUUCGAAACUACUGAAGUUUCCGAUGAGCACUGUUGGGGCCAUAAUCUGGAAGAGGAAAGAACAACAUUUUUACCAUGAACAGGUGCUAGCCGCAGGAUUUCAGACAGAGGAGUGAAAAGAAUUAUCAGAAGAGCUGUCCAAGAGCCAAGCACCACUUGUGGAGAGCUACAGAAAGACCUUUAAUCAACAGGUACAAUUGUUUCAAAGCAAACAAUAAGUAAUCCACUCAACCACCGUGGCCUGUAUGCAUGCUUACAACAUAUUGUUGAAGAAACAGCAUGUUGAAGCAUAUUUAAAGUUUGCUGAACAACAUUUAGACAACCUGCAUUCAUACUUUUUUCCAGUGUCAAAAGCUCACCUUUAAAAAUUUUUUACUUAAAUAAUUGGUGAUGUGUUCUGUCAAUAGAAAAUUGUAUGUUUUAGUCAGUAUAAGCUUUUAAUGAUAUAAGUUUGCUUGUGAUAGAAUGCUGCAUGAUGAUCAUUUCCUUGCUUAGAACUGGUUGUUCUUUUCAUUGUUCAGGACUGAUUGUUCUUUAUAAAACAUGUUCUGAUAUUUGUAUCUGAGUCUUCUCACAGCGAUAGGAAGAAGUCAAACAAGCAGUUCUGACCUCCCACACACACACACACACACACACACACACAAUCACAUAUGCACAUGCUCACGUCAAAUGUAUUCAUUUUUCUUAUGUAUAAAUAAAGACACGUGCAAGAACAGAGCGCGCAUCGCAGGGCCCCCACUCUGGUGUGAGCGUUCUGUGAUCGCCCUUGUAUACAAGUAAAUGCUGCAGCGUCUGUGUGCGUUUCUCCUCUUAGACUCUUAGCUGAAGAAGUGUCUUUAGAAUAAAUCUCUUGACAUUUAUUUUGGUCCUUCGUAGCUGGAGCAGAAACAUCAGAACUGUUAUCUGUGACUCUGUUCCAGGAUCCAGCACUGAUUCCUGACGCCGUGGGAAGCCAGCACCGAAGUCUGUGCACAGCCCUCUUAGACGAGGCCGAAAGACCUGGGACGCUAAAAUUCGGGUCCAGGCCGGUGUUUUUAGUCUGGUCCACGGCGGUGGGAUUCAGUCUGGCGAUCCGAACCACCAGUGAGACGUCUGAGGGUGAGAAACUCUAUUUUGAUAUAUAAAAGGGCCGCAAAGGUUUAAAGAAACGUGAUAAAACAGGUUUAAGUUCGCCAAAAGGAACAGUGUUUAGACUGGUUUUAGAGGUAGCCGAAAUUACUUCGUGACAAAUUAAAAUAUGUUUAGGCAAAUUAAAACACGUUGAGACAAAGAAAUUAACAUAGGUUUAAGUUCGCCAAAAGGAACUGUGUUUAGACUGGUUUUAGAGGUAGCCAUAAAAUACUUCGUGACAAAUUAGCGUGCAAAUGUCUAUGUGUGUAUGUGUCUAGAAGUAAGUUGAUUUUACAGCACAAUACGCUGCUGAACUACUUCUAUUUUAUUUUGUUCUUUGCUUGAGGCUCACGUACUGGUGACAAAGGUUGAGCUUCGUCUCAUAAAA